ACUGGGAUAACUCCGGGAAACCGGGGCUAAUACCGGAUAACAUUUUGAACCGCAUGGUUCGAAAUUGAAAGGCGGCUUCGGCUGUCACUUAUGGAUGGACCCGCGUCGCAUUAGCUAGUUGGUGAGGUAACGGCUCACCAAGGCAACGAUGCGUAGCCGACCUGAGAGGGUGAUCGGCCACACUGGGACUGAGACACGGCCCAGACUCAUACGGGAGGCAGCAGUAGGGAAUCUUCCGCAAUGGACGAAAGUCUGACGGAGCAACGCCGCGUGAGUGAUGAAGGCUUUCGGGUCGUAAAACUCUGUUGUUAGGGAAGAACAAGUGCUAGUUGAAUAAGCUGGCACCUUGACGGUACCUAACCAGAAAGCCACGGCUAACUACGUGCCAGCAGCCGCGGUAAUACGUAGGUGGCAAGCGUUAUCCGGAAUUAUUGGGCGUAAAGCGCGCGCAGGUGGUUUCUUAAGUCUGAUGUGAAAGCCCACGGCUCAACCGUGGAGGGUCAUUGGAAACUGGGAGACUUGAGUGCAGAAGAGGAAAGUGGAAUUCCAUGUGUAGCGGUGAAAUGA
rnacentral:rRNA from 1 species